GGUAAUUUAGGGAGCUAAUACAUGCACCUAAGCUCGGACCUCACGGAAAGAGCGCAUUUAUUAGAUCAAGACCAAUCGGGCUUCGGUCCGUGGUUUGAUGACUCUGAAUAACCUAGCAGAUCGCACAGUCUUGCACUGGCGACGUAUCUUUCAAAUGUCUGCCUUAUCAACUUUCGAUGGUAGGUUAUAUGCCUACCAUGGUUAUAACGGGUAACGGAGAAUUAGGGUUCGACUCCGGAGAGGGAGCCUGAGAAAUGGCUACCACAUCCAAGGAAGGCAGCAGGCGCGCAAAUUACCCAAUCCCGGUACGGGGAGGUAGUGACGAAAAAUAACGAGAUAGUCCACUUUGUGGCCUGUCAUCGGAAUGGGUACAAUUUAAAUCAUUUAACGAGGAUCCAUUAGAGGGCAAGUCUGGUGCCAGCAGCCGCGGUAAUUCCAGCUCUAAUAGCGUAUAUUAAAGUUGUUGUGGUUAAAACGCCCGUAGUUGAUUUUUCGACUGUGGCGGUCGGUAGCCCGAGAGGGUUUCACUUGGCUUGUCGAGUCUGAAUUUGGGUUUUCUGUCGAUGCUCUUAACCGAGUGUCGGUAGUGACUCAAGAGUUUACUUUGAAAAAAUUAGAGUGCUUAAAGCAAGCUGUAUGCUUGAAUAGAGUGCAUGGGAUAAUGGAAGAGGAUUUUGAUUCUAUUUUGUUGGUUUUCGGAAUUGAAAUAAUGAUUAAGAGGAACUGACGGGGGCAUUCGUAUUGUUGCGUUAGAGGUGAAAUUCUUGGAUCGUAGCAAGACGAACAACUGCGAAAGCAUUUGCCAAGAAUGUUUUCAUUAAUCAAGGACGAAAGUUAGAGGUUCGAAGGCGAUCAGAUACCGCCCUAGUUCUGACCGUAAA
rnacentral:rRNA from 1 species